rnacentral:piRNA from 1 species
UGAGGUGACGAGGUGAGGAUGACCCAAG